UGUGUAGGCGGUUGGAUAAGUGUGGUGUGAAAUCUCCCGGCUUAACUGGGAGGGUGCGCUACAGACUGUCUGACUAGAGUGUGGGAUGGGAGAGUGGAAUUCCUGGUGUAGCGGUGAAAUGCGUAGAUAUCAGGAGGAACACCGGUGGUGUAGACGGCUCUCUGGACCAUAACUGACGCUGAGACACGAAAGCGUGGGUAGCAAACAGGAUUAGAUACCCUGGUAGUCCACGCCCUAAACGAUGCAUAUUUGGUGUGGGUCAUUCAUUUGAUCCGUGCCGGAGCUAACGCGUUAAAUAUGCCGCCUGGGGAGUACAGUCGCAAGGCUGAA
rnacentral:rRNA from 1 species